rnacentral:rRNA from 1 species
AUUGAACGCUGGCGGCAGGCCUAACACAUGCAAGUCGAGCGAGCGGGGGGCGGGUGAGUAAUAUGUGGGGAAUGCGCGAGAGAGGGGGGUAACUACUGGAAACGGUAGCUAAUACCGCCUACUCUCGGAUACGCCCUAUGGGAUUAGCUAGUAGGUGGGGUAAUGGCUCACCUAGGCGACGAUCCCUAGCUGGUCUGAGAGGAUGAUCAGCCACACUGGAACUGAGACACGGUCCAGACUCCUACGGAGGCAGCAGUGGGGAAUAUUGCACAAGGGGCGCAAGCCUGAUGCAGCCAUGCCGCGUGUAUGAAGAAGGCCCUAGGGUUGUAAAGUACUUUCAGUCGGGAGGCGUUACCGACAGAAGAAGCACCGGCUAACUCCGUGCCAGCAGCCGCGGUAAUUC